rnacentral:tRNA from 1 species
GGAGAGAUGGCCGAGUGGUUGAAGGCUGCCGUCUUGAAAACGGCCGAACGCAAGUUCCGGGGGUUCGAAUCCCUCUCUCUCCGCCA